AUUGAACGCUGGCGGCAUGCCUUACACAUGCAAGUCGAACGGCAGCACGGGAGCAAUCCUGGUGGCGAGUGGCGAACGGGUGAGUAAUAUAUCGGAACGUGCCCAGUCUGGGGGAUAACGUAGCGAAAGCUACGCUAAUACCGCAUACGAUCUAUGGAUGAAANCGGGGGAUCGCAAGACCUCGCGCGAUUGGAGCGGCCGAUAUCAGAUUAGGUAGUUGGUGAGGUAAAGGCUCACCAAGCCGACGAUCUGUAGCUGGUCUGAGAGGACGACCAGCCACACUGGGACUGAGACACGGCCCAGACUCCUACGGGAGGCAGCAGUGGGGAAUUUUGGACAAUGGGCGCAAGCCUGAUCCAGCAAUGCCGCGUGCGGGAUGACGGUCCUAUGGAUUGUAAACUGCUUUUAUACAGGAAGAAAC
rnacentral:rRNA from 1 species